GUGGGGUGACUGCGUACCUUUUGUAUAAUGGGUCAGCGACUUAUAUUCUGUAGCAAGGUUAACCGAAUAGGGGAGCCGGAGGGAAACCGAGUCUUAAUUGGGCGUUAAGUUGCAGGGUAUAGACCCGAAACCCGGUGAUCUAGCCAUGGGCAGGUUGAAGGUUGGGUAACACUAACUGGAGGACCGAACCGACUAAUGUUGAA
rnacentral:rRNA from 1 species